rnacentral:misc_RNA from 1 species
GAUGAAGAACGUAGCGAAAUGCGAUACUUGGUGUGAAUUGCAGAAUCCCGUGAACCAUCGAGUCUUUGAACGCAAGUUGCGCCUCAAGCCAUUAGGUUGAGGGCACGUCUGCCUGGGCGUCACAUAUCGUUGCCUGAUGCCAGUUUCCUCGUGAUGGGUGACUGUGCAGGGCGAAUGAUGGCUUCCCGUGAGCAUUGUUGCCUCAUGGUUGGUUGAAAAUUGAGUCCUUGGUAGGGAGCGCCGUGAUAGAUGGUGGUUGAGUGACGAACGAGACCCAAUCAUGUGAGACCCCUACCGAAUUUGGCCUUCAUGACCCACAUGCGUCUUUGGAACGCUCAUGACGAGACCUCAGGUCAGGCGGGGCUACCCGCUAAGUUUAAGCAUAUCAUAAGCGGAGA